rnacentral:lncRNA from 1 species
CAAGUGAAAAAAGUGUGUGUGAAAAAGACUAGUGCAAUGUCCAGUGUCAUGUAGUUGAAGGCGUGGCAUAAUUUCAACGGUUUGAAAUAUUCCAAUGAUGUUACAGGAAAGGGCAAUAAAUUGGAUGUAGAGAAAAAACAGGUGAAGUUGGAAUUUCAUGUUCAUGUGGCGCAAUCAUAUUACCAACCAAAGAAGUCACUCCAAUCCGAUUUCACAUUGGAUGUAGACCUGUGCAGUGUAGACUUUCCUCUACUUCCAUGACAUGGGCUGAUUUUCCCAUUAGAUUAAAGCAGCCAAUUCAAGCCAAUAAGACUAGUAUCUGAUUCAUCAAGCUUGCAAGCUCUGAAAUUUAAAGCAGGAAUUCAUAAAAAAUAAUCUCGAACACACAUGUAGGAAUUCAUAAAAAGUAAUCUCUGGAAUUAAAGCUUGCAAUGUCGCACCUUCAGGCUGCGCAGCCACCAUGACCACCCGAUCCGAGGUGAGAGCGCCGCCAUCGCCACCGACAGCUCCAGCCUACAGAGGCCACCCACCAUGAGCGCCGCCGUGGACCGCAUCCCGACCACCGCCGUCUCGGCCUCCCUCCUCUCCCUCUCCCACUUCGUUGGACAGGAG